UUAAAUUGAAGAGUUUGAUCAUGGCUCAGAUUGAACGCUGGCGGCAGGCCUAACACAUGCAAGUCGAACGGUAACAGGAAGCAGCUUGCUGCUUCGCUGACGAGUGGCGGACGGGUGAGUAAUGUCUGGGAAACUGCCUGAUGGAGGGGGAUAACUACUGGAAACGGUAGCUAAUACCGCAUAACGUCGCAAGACCAAAGAGGGGGACCUUCGGGCCUCUUGCCAUCGGAUGUGCCCAGAUGGGAUUAGCUAGUAGGUGGGGUAACGGCUCACCUAGGCGACGAUCCCUAGCUGG
rnacentral:rRNA from 2 species